ACUCCUACGGGAGGCAGCAGUGGGGAAUAUUGCACAAUGGGGGAAACCCUGAUGCAGCCAUGCCGCGUGUGUGAAGAAGGCCUUCGGGUUGUAAAGCACUUUCAGUAGGGAGGAAGGUAGUGUAGUUAACACCUGCAUAUUUGAUCGUAUCCUACAGAAGAAGCACCGGCUAACUCCGUGCCAGCAGCCGCGGUAAUACGGAGGGUGCGAGCGUUAAUCGGAAUUACUGGGCGUAAAGCGCAUGCAGGCGGCCUGUUAAGUCAGAUGUGAAAGCCCGGGGCUUAACCUCGGAAUUGCAUUUGAAACUGGCAGGCUAGAGUCUUGUAGAGGGGGGUAGAAUUUCAGGUGUAGCGGUGAAAUGCGUAGAGAUCUGAAGGAAUACCAGUGGCGAAGGCGGCCCCCUGGACAAAGACUGACGCUCAGAUGCGAAAGCGUGGGGAGCAAACAGGAUUAGAUACCCUGGUAGCUA
rnacentral:rRNA from 1 species